rnacentral:rRNA from 1 species
UUGCACGCUGGCGGCAGGCCUAACACAUGCAAGUCGCACGGUAACAGGAAGCAGCUUGCUGCUUUGCUGACGAGUGGCGGACGGGUGAGUAAUGUCUGGGAAACUGCCUGAUGGAGGGGGAUAACUACUGGAAACGGUAGCUAAUACCGCAUAACGUCGCAAGACCAAAGAGGGGGACCUUCGGGCCUCUUGCCAUCGGAUGUGCCCAGAUGGGAUUAGCUAGUAGGUGGGGUAACGGCUCACCUAGGCGACGAUCCCUAGCUGGUCUGAGAGGAUGACCAGCCACACUGGAACUGAGACACGGUCCAGACUCCUACGGGAGGCAGCAGUGGGGAAUAUUGCACAAUGGGCGCAAGCCUGAUGCAGCCAUGCCGCGUGUAUGAAGAAGGCCUUCGGGUUGUAAAGUACUUUCAGCGGGGAGGAAGGGAGUAAAGUUAAUACCUUUGCUCAUUGACGUUACCCGCAGAAGAAGCACCGGCUAACUCCGUG